AUAUUUGUUUCUUGUGCUCUGAUUAAUAUGUACAGUAAGCGUGGUAGAAUUGGUGCUCAUUGCAUCUUUGUUGAAAUGCCAGAGAAAUCUACAGUUGGGUGGAAUACUAUGGUCAAUGCUCCUUGCAGGUUAUGCACUUCAUCACUACAGUGAAGAAGCUUUGGAUUUGUAUGUACUAUGAUGUGUGAUUCUGGUGUUAGAAUGGACCAUCUCAGAUUUUCUGUAAUGGUGAGAAUAUGUGCAUUGUGCAAGAUUAGCUUCUUUGGAU
rnacentral:misc_RNA from 1 species